GGGGUUGUACUGGUUUCGACAGGGAUCAUGCAGCUGGUGAAGCUACUCGUAUGCAAUGCGUCAAAUGGCAAACUUAAAUAUAAACGCUGAAGAUAAUUUAGCAAUCGCUGCCUAGUUGCAGCUAUCCUACUGUUUCCACCUACAGUUACAGCUAGGGUAUCGACCUUGUAGGAAACGACACAGUCAAAGCUUUGAGGCUGCGGGCGUAUUACGAAGCUACUAAAGUCAGAAGGAUGCCUAUUUUCGUCUGAUGGAGGGAAUGUCAAAUAACAGGCUAUGGUAGUAGAAGAACAGGGAAUUGGUUUUUGGACACGGGUUCAAAUCCCGUCAGCUCCAUC
rnacentral:tmRNA from 1 species